CUGAAUCUCCUGAUAUCCUUGAACUCUCUCUCGCUCUCGCCUCUCAGUCUCGCCUGACGCAGCGGCGCUUGCCUGAGCUCUCGCCGUCGCUCACCAGUCACGGCAAACCAACGUAGAGGGAUCCGUCACAUUCAGAUGAGUUCACCUGACCAUUUGCACUGUAAACAAUUUUUGGCAUGAGUUGGGUGAGUGGGGAGGUUGAAGAACUUCAAUUAAUGAUCAUGAACUUUAUUUCUUAAUCCAAAAGUUUCGAAAAUGUUUUUUAUGGUUCAGGAAACUAUGUGAAUUACAACGAGGUGUACCAUAAUAGAGAUAUCUUUGUGGAAGACUAUAAGGAAAUGAAUAGGAGCUUUAAGAUAUAUGUUUAUCCUCACAGACGAAAUGAUCCUUUUGCAAACGUGCUGUUGCCAGUGGGUUCCAAACGUGGGGGUAAUUAUGCUAGUGAAAGUUACUUUAAGAAGGUUCUUAUGAGAAGCCAUUUCAUUACAAAAGAUCCAACCAAGGCAGAUCUUUUCUUUCUGCCUUUCUCAAUUGCGAGGUUGCGGCAUGACCCUAGAAUUGGUGUAAGAGGUAUCCAAGAUUUUAUUAAAGAUUACAUCCUCAAUAUUAGUCAGAAGUACCCAUAUUGGAAUCGGACAGGUGGGGCUGAUCAUUUCUAUGUUACUUGUCAUUCCAUUGGACGGUCAGCAAUGGAUAAAGCAAAUGAAGUGAAAUUCAAUGCAAUUCAAGUUAUGUGUUCUUCUACCUAUUUCCAACCUGGGUACAUUGCUCACAAAGAUGCAUGCCUGCCACAAAUUUGGCCAAGACAAGGAGUCCUCCCUAAUCUUUCUCAUCAAACAGGUGUCACUAGGAAAAAAAGAAAUUGACGAUAGAGAUGGUGCCCACUGAUUCUGCUGAUUCACUUAAAGAGCUGAUCAUUGACAUUCCACUAGUGAGCCUGCCCAAUGGCCCGAGUGUUGCAUCUAUAGGGCUCCUAAGCGGCUUUGCCAGAUAAAUAAAGGAACCUACACUCCAAAGCUAAUCUCAAUAGGACUUUUUCACCACGGGGAAGAUGAACUGAAGGAUAUGGAAAUGCUGAAAGUGAGAUACUUAAAGGAAUUCUGUUAUCGGUUUGGGAAAUGCCAAAAGGAUCUUGCAAGUAUCAUUGAAGAAAACGAAGUAAAGAUUUGCCAUUGUUACGCAGAGGCCUCUAAACUCAACAGUGAAGAUUUUGUGAAAAUGGUUCUAUUGGAUGCCACCUUUAUCAUUGAGCAUUUCUUGAGAGCUGUUGCUGGAGGAGAAUAUGAAAACGAUUGCAUAUCAAGUAAACUAUGGUUGAAUAGGCAUAUACUUCAAGACUUGCUAUUACUUGAGAAUCGACUUUCAUUUUUUAUUCUCAAGGAGUUACAUAAUCAAUUUUCCAGGUCUGAAGAAAACAAUAAUAUUUCCUUUCUUAUGCUUGCUUGCAAAAAAUUCUCCCCAUGAAAAGGAAAUACCAACUGAGAAGGAAGCAAAACAUUUCACUGAUUUGAUCAGAUAUUUCUACUGUCAAUUUAACCUCCAACCCGGAGAAAAUAUUUCUAAUCUACAUAGUGCAACAAAGCUGAACGAGGCAGAAGUGGCAUUCCAAAUGGCUGAACAUGGAAGGUUACUUGACAAAAAAUUCCAGAAGUCUAGGAGCUUGGAAAAAUAUCCCUACUUCAAUUGCUCGUGGUUCUUAAAUUGCUUAUCAUGUUUGAAAUGCUUUUUGUGCUUUGGACGUAUGCAACCGGUCCUAUUCUUUGUAGUAGAUGAAGGAACUGAUGGCCUUUUCCGAAACCUCAUGGCAUUGGAGCAAUGUCAUUAUCCAUCUGAAUCUUACAUAUGCAACUAUAUUGUGCUAUUGGAUUAUCUAGUCAAUUCUGCAGAAGUUGUGGAAUUACUUGUUGAAAAAAAGAUUAUUGUUAACUCGUUACGCAGCAAUAAAGCAUUCGCCACCAUGGUAAGCAAACUUGGCCUCGAAAUUCCUGCUACGGUACUCUAGCUCGUAAUCUUAAUAAGCACUAUGACCAAGGUUACAACCGUCAAAUGGGAUAUUUGAGUCGUACCUAUUUCUUUAAUGUUUGGACAGCCUCUGGAACUAUUAUUAUUCUUGUACUCAGAUUCACUUUUCAGGGUA